AGAACUGCUUAAUGAAUGUACUGCCUUGUAAUACUCCACAGGGUAUACUUUAUUUUCUCUCUGUUACAGCUUUUGUCUUUGCAGAUAUUUCUAAAAGCUCAGUGUUAAGAAAGCAAAACUCAUACUGAUCAUGCAUGUUUAUUAGAAGCUGCUGGUCAUGGAGAACACCAGUGGCUUGAAUGAUUCAAACUUAUCUGGAUUUUUUACAGGGACAGCCACCAAGGAAUCCGUUAUGCCUCUCUCUUCCCAAGCUGCCUGGCUCCCAUACAAGUUAGAGCUGCAAGGAGCAGCUCUAAUUUAUAUUACAGAGAUAACUAAUUUAAAUAUAGUAUUGUGCUAUGAUUGAAAACUAAAAAUAUGACCUCCCCAUCCCCGGCGCCAUGAGAAAAUCAAG